CUGAAGUCGGACGCUCAACCGACGGCGCCACCCAGGCGCCCCGAGGCGGUGAAGUUUUAAGUGAACUGGGUUUUCGUUACGAUCCUAAAGUUGCACUGUGUGAACUAGGCUCUGCCAAAAUCCGAGCAGAGAAGCAAAGAAGUCGGAAAGAGAUUUGGCGGUGGAAGUGGGAGAUUUAAAAACGGUCUUGUAUGAGGUAUAAUAGGAACUCUGCUAUUUUCGCUCUAAGUUCUAAAAUGAAAAGUUUUUUUAAGAAAAAGUUUAAACAAAAGAAACGAAAAAGCCCACCUCUUGAGCCCUGGCCAAAAUAUAUCUUAAAUGAUAUUAAAUGUAUUCCGUGAAUCUCCCCCAUCUCCUCACAGCGAUCAAAAGCCUUUACAUUCUGAACGGAAAGCUUCUUACCUUUAAUUUAUAGAAAUUGACGUCAAGUAAAUAAUAGUCUUUCUCCAGUCUCGAAAUUAAAUAUUCCAUACCAAGUGCACUGAACUUACUUGGCAAGGGCUUUUCUUUCCUCACUACAAGAGACAAUAAAUGUGCACAUAUAUAUGUUAUGUGUUGACCAUCUAGUGGAAAAAGUGGUACUUUGUCUUUUUUAUUUAUUUAUUUAUUUAUUUAUUUAUUUUUUAUUAAAAAAAAUUUUUUUUCAACGUUUAUUUAUUUUUGGGACAGAGAGAGACAGAGCAUGAACGGGGGAGGGGCAGAGAGAGAGGGAGACACAGAAUCGGAAACAGGCUCCAGGCUCUGAGCCAUCAGCCCAGAGCCCGACGCGGGGCUCAAACUCACGGACCGCGAGAUUGUGACCUGGCUGAAGUCGGACGCUUAACCGACUGCGCCACCCAGGCGUCCCAAUGUGGUUUGUACUUUCUGAGGCUCCUUAAUCAUGAGCUUCUUUGCACUUUAUUUUUUCCUGUAUCAGAAUACAACUGAGUCCAGUGUUUAACCUCAAUUAUGCACUUCGAGGCUGUAACAUAAAUUAGAUUAGUUCUAUCACCAAAGUAUUUGCCUUGGUUAGAGAGGCACUCUCUACUCCCCCUUCCCCCCUCCCCUGCCAUUGGCAUUAGAUCUGCUUCUUACUGUUGAUUAAGAUACUGGGGUGUGUGUGUGUGUGUGUGUGUGUGUUUUAAACAAAAGUCUUCCUGACAAAUUAGGUUUCUGGGUCAGUAAGGCUGUCUUAGCCCAUUUGAGCUGCAAAGCUAUAAACAACAAAUUUAUUUCUCACAGUUCAGGAGCCUACGAAGUCCAGCAUCAAGGUUCUGGCAGAUUUGGUGUCUGGUAAGUAUUUGUUUCCUUCAGUAUCUGUUUCCUAGUCUUUUUGCUGUGCCCUCAUAUGGUGGAAGGGUAGAAGGAGCUCUUUGGAAUCUCGUUCAUAAGAGCUCUGCCCUCAUGACGUAAUCACCUACCUUCACCUCCUAAUACCAUCACAUUGGGCGUUAGGAUUUCAAUGUAUGAAUUUUGCAAAGGACACAAAAACUAGAACUGUAGCAAAGGCUGAGGGCCAGGCUCUGGACUGCAGUGAAUUUUUCAAGGAGACUUAUUUGUGUAUAUAUUCUCUCAUUCCAGCGACAAUACAACAUGGAUAUUUUUACUUUAAACUUUAAAAUGUAUGAUAAUUUAGGGAAAGAGAAAGAGAGUCAGUCUUACUUAAUCCAGCUAUAGCUACAAUGUGGCAUCAAUCUGUUUUAGUACAUUGAUAGUUUUAGUACAUUAGGUACAUUUUAAAUUUAGUACAUUUAUACACCCCACUGUUAAAUUCUCAUUUUAACAUAUUCAUAACACAUUACAGAUGUAUUAGUACAGAUUGAAAGUUUAGUAUACUUGGAACUACAUUCUACUCAAACAACUUCACUGAAAAGUAACGUUUGAAGAAGAGUACUGAAUUGAUGACAGUAUUUGACAAUGAAAGACUUAUCUCAUAAAUUUUCUUUCCACUAGCAUCUAGAAUGUUGGAAAUGAAUUAAUCAAUUAAAUAGCAUUUAAUGAGUACUUACUAAAUGUCAAUAAUUGUUCUAAAUGUGGAGAGAUAGAUAUUUUAAAAGGUAUAGUCCCUCUCCCACAGUGAAGUAAGUAGGUAGACAAGACUCUAAACAAAUAAUUAUAGUGUACUGGAAUAAACACUAUAAUUGAAGGUUGUAGGAGAUGCAAUGGAAGCAAGAAAUGGAGCAUUUAACUUUGUCGGGCAGGACCUGCUUCAUUAAAUUUGUGGUGUUUGAGAUGAAUCUUGAAGAAUGUGUUGAAAUUUGAUAGGAUACAAGCAGUAACAGGACAUUCCAGAUAGAAACAACAUUAGGUGGAAAGGCAUGGUAUUGAAAUACUAUGGCCCUUUGAAGGACUUAGUUUUUUGUUUCUGAAAGAGUAGGGUGCAUAUGAGGGAAUAGUAAGAGUAAGUAACAUUUUAAUAGUAAGAGUAAGUAAGAUUUUGUGGAUCUCAUUUAGGAAUUCAUUCCAUAGUUUAUUCUAAUGGCAAAAGGAAAACUAUUGAGUUUUAAGCAGCAGAGGUUUUUUAUGUUUUUUUUUUUUUGUUGUUGUUUUUAUUUGUGUUUAGAGAGAGAGACAGAGCAUGAGUCUGGAAGGGUCAGAGACAGAGGGAGACACAGAAUCUGAAGCAAGCUCCAGGCUUCGAGCUGCCAGCACAGAGCCCGACAUGGGGCUCGAACCCACAGACCACAAGAUCAUGACCCAAGCCGAAGACAGACACUUAACCGACUGAGCCACCCAGCACCCUGAAAUAGCAGAGUUUUGUGACAAGAUUUGCAUUUUCUGAAAAAUUCACAUGCUGAUCAUUUAUAGCAAUACAAGCUCAGUUAGGAGAUUAUUCCGAAUAGUUGGAAGUAGGAGAUGAGAAGCUCUUAAACUCCUCAGUAAAAUGGGAUUCAUGAGAUUGGAGGGGUUAAAAGGAGAUAGAAUCAUAGAAUCAUAGGAUUAAG
rnacentral:lncRNA from 1 species